rnacentral:rRNA from 1 species
UACAGAGGUCUCAAGCGUUGUUCGGAUUCAUUGGGCGUAAAGGGCGCGUAGGCUGCGGGGCAAGUCGGGUGUGAAAUCUCAGAGCUCAACUCUGAAACUGCACCCGAUACUGCUUUGCUUGAGGACUGGAGAGGAGAUUGGAAUUCACGGUGUAGCAGUGAAAUGCGUAGAUAUCGUGAGGAGGACCAGUGGCGAAGGCGGAUCUCUGGACAGUUUCUGACGCUGAGGCGCGAAGGCCAGGGGGAGCAAACGGG